UACAGAGGGGGCAAGCGUUAUUCGGAAUUAUUGGGCGUAAAGGGCGCGUAGGCGGCUUUGCAAGUGACGGGUGAAAUCCCUCGGCUUAACCGAGGAACUGCCUGUCAGACUGCAUGGCUUGAGACCGGGAGAGGUGAGUGGAAUUCCCAGUGUAGCGGUGAAAUGCGUAGAUAUUGGGAGGAACACCAGUGGCGAAGGCGGCUCACUGGACCGGUACUGACGCUGAUGCGCGAAAGCGUGGGAGCAAACAGG
rnacentral:rRNA from 1 species